UUUAAGAGAGUAAAAUAUUGACAAAAACUGCAUUAAGUUUUCAACUCUUGUUUUGUUUUUCAUUAAAAAUUUGCUACCAUUAUGUAUAAUUCAUUUUUUUUAAUGUAAAUGUUUUUAAGUAUUUGUAGGAUAAAGGCAAAUUACACUUAUUCAUUCUUUCUUUGAUAUAAUACAUGUAGCUCUUUACCUGAAAUCAAUGUUUGUCAAAUUAUUGUGCAUAAAUUAGAAGUAUGCAUGUUUCUCUUAAGUCAGUUAUGUUUCAGGAACUAUCUUUAAUGAAUUGUAUAGAAAAUUGUGGACGAGGUGUUAGGUGUACAGGAACGUGGUAUAUUAUAAACAUGUAUAGUAUCUCAUAGUAUAUAAACUCAUAACUUUUAUUAUGCAGUAUGCUUUGUAUAUUAUUUCUGAAAGCAUGUAUUCGUAUAUUUCAAUCAAGAUUGUUGAGUAAACUUUUCUUACUUUAUGCUAUCUCUGAAAGCAUGUAUAUUUCAGUCAAGAUUGUUGAGUAAAUUGUGCUUAUUUUAUGCUUUUUUCUUUUUUACAUUAGAAAAUUCCACACCUUUAUCACGAGGAAAUCUGCAAUGGCAUUUAGGAAUGACAAGUUUGUAUCUAUUACAUAAAAUCUAAUGUUUUCUGGAUUCUUCUUUUCCUUUUCCUCCCAACAGAAAAACUUUAAUGAUAGAAGCUCAACUAUUCGAAGCAGGAGACCGAAGAGAAAAAAAGGAAGAGAGAUGAUAUUACAGCUGCAGAAAAGGAAAUAAUUGAAACGCAGAAGAAUAUAUUAAUGUACUGUGUGAAAUAUGUGACUUGUAUAAGCAAUCAGUUGCAAAUCAGACUGCUGUCAUAGAAAAUCAAAAUAUAAUUAUUAAUUUAUUAAAAAAAUAAAUCAUGCAUUUCAAAUAUUA
rnacentral:lncRNA from 1 species